rnacentral:rRNA from 1 species
UACGGGGGGGGGUAAGCGUUGUUCGGAAUUACUGGGCGUAAAGGGCUCGUAGGCGGCCAACUAAGUCGGACAUGAAAUCCCUCAGCUUAACUGGGGAACUGCGUCCGAUACUGGAUGGCUUGGAUUUGGGAGAGGGAUGCGGAAUUCCAGGUGUAGCGGUAAAAUGCGUAGAUAUCUGGAGGAACACCGGUGGCGAAGGCGGCAUCCUGGACCAAUAUUGGACGCUGAGGAGCGAAAGCUAGGGGAGCAAACGGG